AGGACUUCACAAUAGUCGAAUACCGAUAGCAGGAUAUUCGUUGUUGAUGAAGUCUUAA
rnacentral:pre_miRNA from 1 species